GUGAAAUUUUACGCAACACCUACGUCGUACAAUUUUGCGCCGUACGAUACGCCAUUUGCAUUUUUACGUUGCAUGAAAACGCCAUCCUUUUUGCUUCGGAUGUGAAUAAAGAAGAAAACCUGGACAAUUGUAACGUCAGUACAAUAAAAUGACAAACCUGUCUAUGGGUUCUUUUACGUAAAGCACCACCACGGAACGUCUUAAGGUACUCUUACAAAAAUCGUUCAAUAUAUGCUUGGGGAAGGCACAAAGCACGAUGUUCAUGCAAAAAUGAUGCAAAAACUAACAAAGAAGAAAAAAAACUACAAUAUGCAAAGCAAUUUAAAAAUUUUUUGAAAAUUUGCGCGCCAUUACGUCUAAUCACGAGCAAAAACCGUUAAAAAUGAUCCAACUGAUCAAAAUCAAGAUUCCGGUCAUUUUAGUGACCAUUAUCCGUGCGCAACUCAGUGGGUCGUGCAGCCAGGCGCGCGCAUUGUUCUGAGUUGCGCUGGUACGUCACGCGCAACAGAUUCAGUUGCGCGCGACAUUUAUGUCAGUAAAGUGAAAUCGAUGAGCGCGAUUUUCACUUCACUCUUUAUUUCUCCUUCCUUCGCCAUUUUCGCCUCUUUCUCUCUCUAGGAAGCUCGGAUUUUUGCGAUUUUCAAAGCUAAAGGAAGCAAAUUUCGUCCUUAAUUCAUAUUUUCCGUAAUGGAAUGUAAGUUUUUUGCUAGAAUUUGUUCUUUUCUGGCUGAAUUUGAAUGGUUUUCGAUCGUUGAACCACAAGUUUUGAAUUUGGGGGUUUUCGAUUCAGUCCAUUAUUCUUGAAAUUAUUUUUUCUAUGUUGUCAUGCUAUGUUUAAAGAGUAUUUUGCAACAAAUUUCAUGAAAAUUGGUUAAGUAUUGAACCUUGUAUGAGCAUAUCUUUGUUCAAGUUCGUUCUUGCUCUUUUCCUUUGAAUUUUGCUUGAUUUUAAUCUUGCUCAUUUUUUGUUAUAAUCGCUGAUUAUGAAGUAGAUUAUAGCUAUGGAACCAAUAUUACUUUCAUAAUUCAUUUUCACAAAUUUUGAAUUGUUGGUAAAUGGCGCGAAAAAUACUCUUAGCUUAUUCUUGCCAUGUUCAAACUUCAAAAUUGUUUUAUAGACGAUAACCAUGUUUAUAUUACUGUUAUUCUUCUAGAAUUAGUUGAUUCUUUGAGAUUUUUAAAAUGCAAUCCCUUGAAUACUUAGUUGAAAAUGGUAUAGGAUGGCUUUUGUGGGUGUUAGAAGCCCCCAUUUACAGAGUUUAACUGCAGGUAUCGUAGCCCCCAAGUAUGGAUGGCAUUCGAUUUCGUGUUUUGCCCUUUUGACAGUGUUUAUGCUGCCGAAGCGGGUCUAGAAUACAUAUAUUAGUUUAGUUUAGGAAAUAAAGUAAACUAAUUAAAGAAACUUUAUCCAUCAUAGCAUAGACUUGCCUCCAUUUAUCGAUGCAGAGGAGAUUCUCGGUGGUCCGGACGAGGCAGCUUGCCCUCGGAAGAGGGUGACCCGUCGUCGAGGGGAGGUUCGAGAGCGACGCGUUGCGGCCGAUCGACGUCGCUAGGACCCUAGGGUCCUUAAGUGGGACCCAGACCAUCAUGUGGUUUGGGAGGCUCCUCCCAACUACGACCCUAGGGUGCUUAAGUAGGACCCAGACCAUCAUGUUUCGACCAGAGGGUGGCGCGGCAUCGUGAGUUUUUCGCGCCUUUGUUUCUUUCUCUUUUCCUUUGUUUCUCCUUUUUAAACCAUAACUGUUUAUUUUUAUUUUUAUUCUUUUAUUUAAAGUGAGCCUAGCAUGCGUUUAUACGGAUCUGGUGACCUGCAAGCCCAUUUUGAAAGUUUUCCCAAGGUGGCAAAGGAGAUUGCAGCACUUUUUAGGAUUGACUCCUAACUAGCGGCUCUUUAGGAUUUAUCGAGUCAGCCUGCAUCGUCAGCUUUCCUCCGUGGAUUGUUGGAGUUUUGGUGGGAUUCCACCAACACUUUCCACUUUCCUGGGGAGAGAUGACGGUUACCCCUUUCGAUUUCUCUAUGAUUACGAGUUUUCAUUUUGGAGGCGAGCCCGUAGUCAUAGAGUUCGUUAAGGGGUCAGACGAGAGACUACGCGACCUUGUGGAGGACUUUCUUGCGUCGGCCUUUCACAUGUAUGCGUAGUCUUGUCCGUACUCGGUUCUUGCCGACGAGUUGUCGGCUGACGAGCUUGAUCGACAUUGUACACUUGAGAAGCUGGCUCGGAUAUACAUUGCUCACGUUCUUUCCGUCACCAUCUUGAGUGAUAGAGAAGAGCGUUUCACCAUUGGGUUACUUAUUUGCCUCAGCGAUUUGGGGCAAGUAGGUGACCUGAGUUGGGCGGAGGUGUCGUAUAUGCGUAUGCUUACAGCUAUGGGCAAGGCGACCCGGGUGAUGGAUUCUGCGGAAUUUACUAAGGUGCCUCGGAUCUCCCUUACGUGGCAUGGUCGUAUCCUUGAGGCUUGGGGAUGCUCGUACCUGCCUUUCUUAUCCCCCAGGGUGCUUGGGGCUGCUCGUUUUCCUAUCGGCCAUCGAUUGUCGCGAUUAAGAAGUGACGAGUUACUUCUGCCGGCGACUUUCGCCAGAGGAUCCUUUCCACGACUCGUGCGUCGAUCGAUCUCCGUCCUUGGAGUUUGAUUGUUGGAGACCCUGAGAUUAUCCGAUCUGGCAUGAUUUAUUGUCGUUUCCGGGCCCUCUAUCCGGGACUCUCUGUGCUUUAGAGGACAGACGCUUGGUUUUUGGGCGAGCGUAUUCUCUGGCAGCUUUCGCCCGAGGAGCCUUUGGUUCCGACUGAUCCUCGGAUCCGGAUGUUACGUCUGGAUUUGAUGUGUACCGAGGAUCAAGCUCAGGCCAUCCUUGGUUAUCCAGCGGAGCAGCUGGUGCUGCUGGAGGUUUCUUAUCCGGCUUUUAUAGCAUCCAGGCUGACUCCUUUUCCGUCUUUUGUUCCGCGGGUCUAGCUAGGUGGUUGGGUGCCUCUUACAUCGGAGAUCACAUAUACCGAUGCUGUCAGAUCGGUAAUUCGUGAGACCCUUCCAGCAGCGGAGGAUGAUGAGGGGAUACCGUUUGGACCUUAGACGGUUGAGUCGGAUCCGCAGGAAACCGUAAACGGCAUGGUGAGGACUUUACGUGCUUUCCAAGCUGCUUAUCAGAGAGCCCUCGUGAGUUUAUCAUGCCGUGAUCAUCGGAUGAUCACGGAUGUGCAACAACCGUCUAGUAGUCGACAUGCACCUUGAUUUCUUUUGUACACAUAUUGUUAUUUUUAGGAAACAGAUGUA